rnacentral:rRNA from 1 species
GAUGAACGCUGGCGGCGUGCCUAAUACAUGCAAGUCGAGCGAACGGACGAGAAGCUUGCUUCUCUGAUGUUAGCGGCGGACGGGUGAGUAACACGUGGAUAACCUACCUAUAAGACUGGGAUAACUUCGGGAAACCGGAGCUAAUACCGGAUGAUAUUUUGAACCGCAUGGUUCAAAAGUGAAAGACGGUCUUGCUGUCACUUAUAGAUGGAUCCGCGCUGCAUUAGCUAGUUGGUAAGGUAACGGCUUACCAAGGCAACGAUGCAUAGCCGACCUGAGGGGGAGACCGCCCACCCUGAAAGGAGAGCCGGUCCCGCACACCGGCGGGGGGCGCAGGAGGGCACCCUUCCGAAAGGGGGGAAAGCCGGACGGAUCAACGCGGCGUGGAUGAUAAUGGUCUUGGUAUCGUAAAACUUUUUUAGUAGGGAAGAACAUAUUUGAAAGUAGCUGUGCCAUUCUUGAGGGUCCCUAAUAGAAAAGCCACGUCUAACUAGGUG